UGUCUUUUUGAAAAUAAUAUAAAGUCUAAUCUGCCCACUGAUUUGAUAUUAAAGGGCUGCAGUAUAUUGACUGUACAAAGGUAGCAUAAUCAUUAGUCAUUUAAUUGGUGACUUGUAUGAAGGAUUGGAUGAAAUAUAAACUGUCUCUUAAUUAAAGAUAGAAUUUAAUUUUUUAAUUAAAAAGUUAAAAUAAUUUAAAAAGACGAGAAGACCCUAUAGAGUUUUAUAGAUAAUUUAAUUAAGAUUAUUUAUAAAAAUUAAAAUUGAAAUUAAUUUAUUUAUUAUAUUGGGGUGAUAAAAAAAUAAAUUUAACUUUUUUUUUUCUAUAAGACAUUUAUAAGUGGUUAAAUGAUCCAGUAAUAUUGAUUAUAAGAAAAAAUUACCUUAGGGAUAACAGCGUAAUUUUUUUUUUUAGUUCGUAUAAGAAAAAGAGUUUGCGACCUCGAUGUUGAAUUAAGAUAAAAUUUAAAUGUAGAAG
rnacentral:rRNA from 1 species